rnacentral:sRNA from 1 species
CGGUGCUGGCAGCCGGAGCGGCGGCGGGCGGGCGGAGCAGCCGGGGCAGCCGCGCGUGGGCAUCCACGGGCGCCGAGCCUUCGUCCCUCUCUCUAUCCCUCCCGGGCCUUUGUCAGCGCGCCCGCGGGGAGCGGGGCCGAGAGCUCCGGACCGAGUCAGACAGCCACGCAGGUCAGCGGCCCGGCCUAGGGCGCCAGAGGGGGCCAUGUCGUACCAGGGCAAGAAGAGCAUCCCGCACAUCACGAGUGACCGACUCCUCAUCAAAGGUGGACGGAUCAUCAACGAUGACCAAUCCCUUUAUGCUGACGUCUACCUGGAGGAUGGACUUAUCAAUUGACCAUGUUGUUCCUGAACCUGGGUCCAGCCUACUGACCUCUUUUGAGAAGUGGCACGAAGCAGCUGACACCAAAUCCUGCUGUGAUUACUCCCUCCACAUGGACAUCACAAGCUGGGUCGAUGGCAUUCGGGAGGAGCUGGAGGUGCUGGUGCAGGACAAAGGCGUCAAUUCCUUCCAAGUCUACAUGGCCUAUAAGGAUCUCUACCAAAUGUCCGACAGCCAGCUCUAUGAAGCCUUUACCUUCCUUAAGGGCCUGGGAGCUGUGAUCUUGGUCCAUGCAGAAAAUGGAGAUUUGAUAGCUCAGGAACAAAAGCGGAUCCUGGAGAUGGGCAUCACGGGUCCUGAGGGCCAUGCCCUGAGCAGACCUGAAGAGCUGGAGGCCGAGGCGGUGUUCCGGGCCAUCACCAUUGCGGGCCGGAUCAACUGCCCUGUGUACAUCACCAAGGUCAUGAGCAAGAGUGCAGCCGACAUCAUCGCUCUGGCCAGGAAGAAAGGGCCCCUAGUUUUUCUGUGGGGACUUGCAGGUCACAGGCAGCGGCCACUGUCCCUACAGCACUGCCCAGAAGGCGGUGGGCAAGGACAACUUCACCCUGAUCCCCGAGGGUGUCAACGGGAUAGAGGAGCGGAUGACCGUCGUCUGGGACAAGGCGGUGGCUACUGGCAAAAUGGAUGAGAACCAGUUUGUCGCUGUCACCAGCACCAAUGCAGCCAAGAUAUUUAACCUGUACCCAAGGAAAGGGCGGAUUGCCGUAGGCUCGGACGCCGAUGUGGUCAUCUGGGACCCUGACAAGGUGAAGACCAUAACAGCCAAAAGUCAUAAGUCGGCGGUGGAGUACAACAUCUUCGAGGGUAUGGAGUGCCACGGCUCCCCACUAGUGGUCAUCAGCCAGGGCAAGAUCGUCUUUGAAGACGGAAACAUCAACGUCAACAAAGGCAUGGGCCGCUUCAUUCCACGCAAGCCGUUCCCGGAGCACCUGUACCAGCGCAUCAAAAUCAGGAAUAAGGUUUUUGGAUUGCAAGGGGUUUCCAGGGGCAUGUAUGACGGUCCUGUGUACGAGGUACCAGCUACACCCAAAUAUGCAACUCCUGCUCCUUCAGCCAAAUCUUCGCCUUCUAAACACCAGCCCCCACCCAUCAGAAACCUCCACCAGUCCAACUUCAGCUUAUCAGCAUUACCAGAGCCUGCAGCUCCUGAGAAUCGCACAAUAGCCCUUCGGCUGCAAUCAUUCUUUCAGUCAGAGUCAUCAUGAGCUGUCGGGCUUUGGAGCUGGAACACUUAAACUGGUCCACAAGAAAGUGCUGGAUGUUUGCCAUCUGUUUCCAGAAAGCUUCCAUCUGUGAAAUGAGCACAAGCAGCAAGAAGUGAGGGGAAAAACUUACUUAAGAAAGCCAAACGGUG